GAUGAACGCUGGCGGCGUGCCUAAUACAUGCAAGUCGAGCGAACAGACGAUGAGUUUGUUCCUUUGUCGUUUGCGGCGGACGUGUGUGUAACACGUGUAUCAUCUACUUAUCUUUCUGGUAUCAUUUCGGGAAUCCGGCUCUUAUACCGGAUAAUAUCUUGAACCGUAUGGUUCAUUAGUUAUUUUCGGCUUUUCUGUCUCUUAUAGCUGCUUCCGCGCCGCAUUAGUUAGUUGUUAAGGUAACGGCUUAUCAAGGCUACGAUGCGUAGCCGACCGGCGAGGGGGAUCGGCGACACUGGAACGGAGACACGGACAAGACGACUACGGGAGGCAGCAGAAGGGAAUGUUACGCAAUGGGCGAAAGCAUGACAGAGCAACGCCGCGUGAGUGAUGAAGGUCUUCGGAUCGUAAAGCUCUGUUAUGGGGGAAGAAAAAAUGUGGAAGGAAAUAAAGAGGGAGUGACGGUAACGAAUCAAAAAGCAACGGCUAACUACGUG
rnacentral:rRNA from 1 species